rnacentral:rRNA from 1 species
GAUGAACGCUGGCGGCGUGCCUAAUACAUGCAAGUCGAGCGAACAGACGAGGAGCUUGCUCCUCUGACGUUAGCGGCGGACGGGUGAGUAACACGUGGAUAACCUACCUAUAGACUGGGAUAACUUCGGGAAACCGGAGCUAAUACCGGAUAAUAUAUUGAACCGCAUGGUUCAAUAGUGAAAGACGGUUUUGCUGUCACUUAUAGAUGGAUCCGCGCCGCGUUAGCUAGUUGGUAAGGUAACGGCUUACCAAGGCAACGAUGCGUAGCCGACCUGAGAGGGUGAUCGGCCACACUGGAACUGAGACACGGUCCAGACUCCUACGGGAGGCAGCAGUAGGGAAUCUUCCGCAAUGGGCGAAAGCCUGACGGAGCAACGCCGCGUGAGUGAUGAAGGUCUUCGGAUCGUAAAACUCUGUUAUUAGGGAAGAACAAAUGUGUAAGUAACUAUGCACGUCUUGACGGUACCGAAUCAGAAAGCCACGGCUAACUACGU